rnacentral:lncRNA from 1 species
AGUUAAUGAGACACAGCAAGUAUAAAAUAUCACAGCAUUCAAUAUUAUUGAAAAAAAUACUGCAAAUUGCACAGAAGCUUAUUUCAUGUUUAAUCUUGUUAGACGCCAAGUGCGUGUGCGUGUGCGUGUGCGUGUGUGUUCUUGGACAGUAUUUUUUUCCAGAAAACAGGGGAAUUCUGGUGAACAAAACAACCCUGAAAUUCAACUAAAAUCUUGGGGGAAAAACUGUGGACAGAAGUCUGAACGAAGAAUGCAAAAGGAUGCAGCUUGAAUUCUUCAGUGAUAAAUUCAUACCUUAACUUUUUUGGGAAUCGGACUGGAAAAACACGCACAACACACAGUGCAGACUGCGGAUGAGGUUUAUAUAGAAAGGAUGAGAGGAGGAUGUAAAUUGCAAAGCAGGUUUGCUAAGACAGAUUUGAGUUUCGGCAAAUCCAUAAAUGACACGUACAAAAGUAAUAGGCAU